rnacentral:rRNA from 1 species
UGAACGCUGGCGGUAGGCCUAACACAUGCACGUCGAACGGCAGCACAGUAAGAGCUUGCUCUUACGGGUGGCGAGUGGCGGACGGGUGAGGAAUACAUCGGAAUCUACUUUUUCGUGGGGGAUAACGUAGGGAAACUUACGCUAAUACCGCAUACGACCUACGGGUGAAAGCAGGGGAUCUUCGGACCUUGCGCGAUUGAAUGAGCCGAUGUCGGAUUAGCUAGUUGGCGGGGUAAAGGCCCACCAAGGCGACGAUCCGUAGCUGGUCUGAGAGGAUGAUCAGCCACACUGGAACUGAGACACGGUCCAGACUCCUACGGGAGGCAGCAGUGGGGAAUAUUGGACAAUGGGCGCAAGCCUGAUCCAGCCAUACCGCGUGGGUGAAGAAGGCCUUCAGGUUGUAAAGCCCUUUUGUUGGGAAAGAAAAGCAGCAGGUUAAUACCCCGCUGUUCUGACGGUACCCAAAGAAUAAGCACCGGCUAACUUCGUG